UACGAAGGGGGCUAGCGUUGUUCGGAAUCACUGGGCGUAAAGGGCGCGUAGGCGGCUUUGUAAGUCGGGGGUGAAAGCCUGUGGCUCAACCACAGAAUUGCCUUCGAUACUGCAUGGCUUGAGACCGGAAGAGGUAAGUGGAACUGCGAGUGUAGAGGUGAAAUUCGUAGAUAUUCGGAAGAACACCAGUGGCGAAGGCGACACACUGGCCCGUUACUGACGCUGAGGCGCGAAAGCGUGGGGGAGCAAACAGG
rnacentral:rRNA from 1 species